AUGCGCCGCUACCAUGCAAGACGAACGGAGUUUUGUUCGACACUUGGAACUUCGCCGCGCAAGCUGGAACAACCAGCGGCAAGCGCAACGGCGAAAGCUUAGGGAGGCGGGACAACAAGUCUCGCGCUUCACGCUAAUUAAAGUAAGACUAACACUACUUGAGAAGUAGAUGAAUAGAGUCUGAAGCGGCGGAGGAACAAGUGUUGGACAAAACUUAGUGGCGGACGGGUGAGUAACACGUGAGCAACCUGCCGAAGAGUGGGGGAUAACGUCUGGAAACGGACGCUAAUACCGCAUAACAUACAGGAAUGGCAUCGUUUCUGUAUCAAAGGAGCAAUCCGCUUUUUGAUGGGCUCGCGCCCGAUUAGAUAGCUGGUGAGGUAAUGGCUCACCAAGUCAGCGAUCGGUAGCCGGACUGAGAGGUUGAACGGCCACAUUGGGACUGAGACACGGCCCAGACUCCUACGGGAGGCAGCAGUGGGGGAUAUUGCACAAUGGGGGAAACCCUGAUGCAGCGACGCCGCGUGAGUGAAGACGGCCUUCGGGUUGUAAAGCUCUGUUGCAGAGGACGAUAAUGACGGUACUCUGUGAGGAAGCCACGGCUAACUACGUGCCAGCAGCCGCGGUAAUACGUAGGUGGCGAGCGUUGUCCGGAAUUACUGGGUGUAAAGGGAGCGUAGGCGGGGUGCCAAGUUGGGUGUGAAAUACCGCAGCUUAACUGCGGGGCUGCACCCCAAAACUGGCGCUCUUGAGUGAUGUAGAGGCAGGCGGAAUUCCUAGUGUAGCCGGUGAAAUUGCGUAGAUAUUAGGAGGAAACACCAGUGGGCGAAAGGCGGCCUGCUGGGGCAUUAACUGACCCUGAGGCUCGAAAGCNUGGGGGAGCAAACAGGGAUUAGAUACCCUGGGUAGUCCCNCCCCNUAAAACGAUGAAUACUUAGGUGUGGGGGGGACUGACCCCCCUUUCCCNUGGCCGGAANUUNACCCCCANUUAAAGNUNUUCCCNCCNUGGGGGAANUANCCGGNCCCCCAAGGGUUNAAAAACNUCCAAANGNAAUUU
rnacentral:rRNA from 1 species